rnacentral:rRNA from 1 species
UACAGAGGGUGCAAGCGUUAAUCGGACUUACUGGGCGUAAAGCGUGCGCAGACGGUUGCGUAAGUCAGAUGUGAAAGCCCCGGGCUCAACCUGGGAAUUGCAUUUGAGACUGCGUAGCUAGGGUGCAGAAGAGGGAAGCGGAAUUUCCGGUGUAGCGGUGAAAUGCGUAGAUAUCGGAAGGAACACCAGUGGCGAAAGCGGCUUCCUGGUCCAGCACCGACGUUCAGGCACGAAAGCGUGGGGAGCAAACAGG